GGCCUGUUGACAACGUUCGUCCUCUCCUUUAAACAACGAACUCGUCAUUGCAGUUUCAUCGCCGCUUUUUAUCAGAGGAAAAAUUUUGCUGCCAAAAGAAAAAAGGUGCUUUUGAAGAGCGGUUUUCGAAACCUUUUUUUUUUUUGGGCAACAAAACUGAAUGCAGCCGUUGAAAAACUUCAGAGCUUGGUCCGAUUCUUUGCGAAAGCGCCCUUUCUAUAUUCUUGCCUUUUGUGCCAACAAUGUGAAGGCGUUCUUAUCGAGCAAAAUGAGAAACACCAGGCCCAGUUUGAGUUGACUGUC